rnacentral:rRNA from 1 species
CGGACGGGUGAGUAAUGUCUGGGAAACUGCCUGAUGGAGGGGGAUAACUACUGGAAACGGUAGCUAAUACCGCAUAACGUCGCAAGACCAAAGAGGGGGACCUUCGGGCCUCUUGCUAUCGGAUGUGCCCAGAUGGGAUUAGCUAGUAGGUGGGGUAACGGCUCACCUAGGCGACGAUCCCUAGCUGGUCUGAGAGGAUGACCAGCCACACUGGAACUGAGACACGGUCCAG